rfam:Lasallia pustulata genome assembly, contig: scaffold15_size283807
GCGUUUGUGGUUUAGUGGUAAAAUCCGUCGUUGCCAUCUUUGUCUUCCUCCGCUGGAGUCGAGCACAGUCGACGGGCCCCGGGUUCGAUUCCCGGCGAACGCA